CGGCGGCGAAGCUGCAACUCGGACGGCGCCAUGGCUUCCUAUGCAGAGAAAACGAGAGGGGAGGUCAGGGAGGAGCAGCAGGAGGAGUGAAGAAAAAAGGCAGCGGAGAAGGCCCUGCUCGCCGGAGAGCUCGACUGGCGCCGACGCUCGCUGUAGCGGGAGUAUGCUCGGGCGUACCGGCAUGAGAGCUGCAGUUGGUGGGAAUUGGCUGCGUGCAUAGGAACCGUGGAUUGAUCCCACGUACACACAGCACUUCUCGGCUCUACGAAAUCCAUGGCUCAAGUGCGUGUCCCGGGGUCCGAGCCUCUAUCACUUCUUCAGUUCCGGCUUGCUUCAAGAACAAAAAAUUUCUGUGUGGAAGACCACUAGCAGAACUGAAUGUUGUAUGCACCUUCAUCUUGCAGUCCAAUUACUUGGAUUAUUUGGGACAAAUUCCUUUCUUUUUAACCGUACUACAAUUAUAUAGCAGGAUAAGGAUACAUGCUUGUACUGCCUCUAUCAUAAAUUGCACAUGAGUUGAUUCCGAGUUUAGACAGCUAGCAAUCAAUCGCUCUGAAGACUAUUCUAUGCGACUAUUCUCUCAGCGGCUUGCUCGAAUCGUCCACCACCGACCGCCGCUGGCGCAAGCUGAAACUCACCCGGGGGAGCACUGGCUGGCGCGACAGUGGCGGCGAGGACCAGGUCAAGGCUUCGCAAUAAGCUCCGGAUCAAGCCAUGAAACAUGUUGACGGAUUAGUUUUCCACCUCAUGUUUACUUCACCAUGUAGUUGGGUGUAACGUGAGUUCUGCUCUUCUUCUAGGCUGUUGGGAGGAGCGACCCUGCCAUCACAUCGAGAACGAGCGGCUCUUGGUGCUCGACAAGGUGCCUGAGCAAGGCAUAUUAGUGGACGUGGCUCGACCCUGAACUUGCUUUCCCCAAAUUUGUUCAGUGAGCAGUGCUAUCAUAUUCUCCUUGCUCUUACCAUGGAUAGGUUUGGAGUUUGGGUCUUUUUAGUUCUCGCGUUUGGACCAAAAUGAUUGGGGGAGUGGAGAUUGGCAUGAAUAAUUGCAAUUGUUAACACAAGGUCAGACAAUGAAGGAUUUGUUGUCAAGAUAUCAAAAGUUGCUCAUAUCAACUGGAAAUAUAGAAGUUAUAUUCAGUCAUGCAGACAUAUAGUUUUUUUUUUGCAUAUGAAAAUAGAUUGUCAACGUAUAUUAUUUGGCUCAAUAAAUUGCGUUGUGAAUCACUUCGAAUUGUUUGUAACAACGAACAUUUUUUCAUACAACACCUUAAUAUGUAGCUUAUAAGGCUUUUAGUUUGUGAAUAAUUUGUUCAAAGAGUCACACUGUAUCAUCACACAAGGCAACGAUAUAUUAAGGUGAAGACUUUGUCAUCUAUACUUGUUGAUACUUUUUCAAUUAUGCUUACCUUACAUCCUUCUGUUAACAGUUUAGAAAUAUAGUUAUGUUCAUUGAUUUCUUAUACAGUUAUCCCACGUCAGUAUAGGUUGUGGAGGAUCGUAGAGUGUUUUCUUUAAUUGCGGAUCAGGUGUCGUUCACUUUUGCAAAGAUAGGCCAGUAAGAUAUCUAGCAUUUCCUUCAUGUGGUUGCACCAUUUUUUAAACCGUGUAAGUUUUGAGUGAAACUAUACUAUCUGUUAACACAAGGAUAAGAAAGAAUGGAAUUGAUUGUAAGCAAUUCUUCUUGAGAUGGAGACUUUCUGUGUAGUUUGCUGCAAGUGUUUAAAUCUGAAUUUCAGUUUGAGAUAUACAACCGGCAAUCUGAGGUCAAUACUGCUGCUCAGACAAUCUAGAUAUGUCAACGAAAUUUCUUUGCAAACUCGUACAAAAGCUUAAGAAUAUGCCUGCUACUUGGGGAUAUUGUGGUGUUAAAUGACCUAAAUCUCGCUUCACAUAUAUCACGAUCCGAUACGGUGUUUGAGAAAACCCGAAAUUUUUUGGAACAAAAAAGGUUGUGCUAGCAAGGAAAUUCACUUCAGCUCAAGACUUGAUAAGGCAUGUGGCAACCCUAGGAGGUGUUGUUGUGCUCACUCGCAUACCAUAUAUUCAGAGUUAAAGUUGUUUGCGUGCUUUCUAUGGUCUAAGGUAUUUUGAAUACAUCAGGUUUUUUAUGUUUGUUUGUAGCCUGAACCUUGCAGAUGGUCUCUACGCUGUAGCUAUAAUUUUAUUCUCGUGCCGACAGUGGUAACACAUGAAAGAUCCAGAAAGAUUUUGAAGCGGCGUAGAUCCAGCCGGUGCAUACUAUUGCCUUCCAAGGCCUUGAAGGAGAUCAUAUAUGUUUGGCUACUGACAUGACAAGAAUUUCAGCAAAAAUGUGACAUGAAUUUUCACCUUCUCGUCUGCUCUUUUAUCUUUUGCUAUUCUGCAUUAACACUCAGGUGUCUGCUGUUUCAGAUUUCCAAUUAUUAGGCACAUGCUUUGCAGCUUGUGUUAGUACAUAUCACCAUGCAUCCAUGCCUAAGCUACUAGCGAAAUGAAGGAAACUUUUCCA